UCAAUGGGGCCGGCUGAAAUGUCACAGAGUAGUGAGUCUGUCUCUCUCUGCCUCACCUUGUCUGCCAAAGGAGUAAUACAGAACUACUGCAUCAUUCCAUGUUGCCUUAUGGCUAGGAUGAUUUAAGGAUUACAAGAUAAUGCAAGGGAAGGUGUUUGAACAGAAGUGCUAUACAAAUGCGAAUAUGACAAUUUAGUAAUUCCAUUUCAUCGUUCAGGUGUGAUGCUAAAGUUGUUGACUGCAAGAUGAAUGAGGUUAUUUCUGUUAGUCCCAUGGCUGCGUAUCAGUGCAAAGAAGCAAGUUCUGAAAGUCAGGCCUCAAAAGUAUUGCUCCUUUUAUUAUGAGUUGUAUUGAAAUGAUUGUUAUGAAGUCCUUGUUCAUUAUGUUGUAAGGUUCCCCGUGGUCAUUUUUGUGAAUGGCGGUAUAUAAAUGGCGGUAAAUAAAUUUUUUUUAAAUGACAUUUUCAGAAAUGCACAUUGUACUCCUAGAAUCAAUUAAUGCAGCAGCCACAAUCGGAGUGGACAACUUUAUGUAAAAAAUGAAGGAUCUUUCUGAUGCAAUCCAGUUGCUGAGAAUGUUCAUUGUUAUGUACAUCUCAUCUACAUAUUUAUAUUCUCUGCUUGAGGUGGCUUAUAGAACACCUGAAAGGAAGCUCAUUUUGAUGUAUUUCAUAAUAGUUUAUACACUAAAGCUAUCCAUGAAAAUCCCAAUUUCAAGGUUCACUGCUAAUAAAACUACAUUUCCUUUCACUGUUAAUAAAUUUAGGACAAGCAGAUUGUCUGUUUCUGCAAAUUC